AAAAAUACAAGAGUGGCACACGCUACGAGGAUCUAAGCACGUGAGACGAAGAGCAAGCAAUCAGGUUCUGCAACAAUGCCAAUGGCGACGCAGUUUCGUUUCCUCCCUAACCACCACCAUCCUUUUACAUCGUCAACCACACGGCGUUCUUCUCCGGCGAACUUUGUCAUCAAAAUCAGAAGUCAAAUUCAGAGCUCACAACUGCAAGCUUUAUCCAAGAAGAAGCGUCGUCCGGAGAACGUUGAUGGAGACUUCUUCGUCGAUCAUACAUGCAUUGAUUGUGACACCUGUCGUUGGAUGGCCCCGGAGAUUUUCACUCGUGUUGGUGACAUGUCUGCUGUUUCAAAGCAGCCAACCUGUCAAGAUGAACGUCUUAAGGCUCUUCAGGCAUUGCUUUCAUGCCCAACAAGCUCAAUCAGCACUGAGAAACCUGCUCGUGAUAUUUUGGAGGUUCAGAAAACAUUUCCAAUACCCAUUGACAUCGACAGAAUUCCGGGGGUGUAUCAUUGUGGUUAUCACUCCGAUAAAUCAUACGGAGCAGCCUCCUAUCUGUUGGUUCAUCCUGAAGGGAACAUUCUUAUCGACAGUCCUCGGUAUACAGAAAGGCUAGCUUCCAACAUUGAGAAAAUGGGUGGAGCUCGAUACAUGUUUCUCACUCACCGGGAUGAUGUGGCAGAUCACGAGAAGUGGUCAAAGCGAUUAAAUUGUGAAAGAGUGCUUCACUCCACGGAGGUAAAUGUUUCAACCAGCAAUGUUGAGAUGAAGUUGAAUGGAUGUGGACCGUGGAGUCUUAGUGAUGAUGUCCAACUUAUACACACACCGGGCCACACAGAAGGAUCAGUGUGCUUGUUUUAUAAGCCCUUAAAGGUGCUUUUCACUGGAGAUCAUCUGGCAUUGGCAAUGGAUGAAUCUAAUCUGGCUAUAUCUGAGAUAUACAAUUUUUAUUCAGUGCCUAUACAGUUGGAUAGUGUUGCCAUGUUGCUUGAGCUGGAAUUUGAGUGGAUAUUACCAGAUGCCCGGGGCUCACUCGAGUCUUGCAUAUGAAACCUUCAUGCAUGCUAGUAUGAACCCGAGUCACAACUAAGUAGAGGCAGCAAAAUGGUCAGGCCAUGGACGGAGAGUUGCAUUCAAGGACAUUGAAGAAAAAAACACGAGCUUAAAAGCUUUCUUGACUGCCAAGCAACAUAUCCAUGUUUACUAGUUGGAUCACGCACUAAAAUAUAUACAAGCCAAUGCAUAUAUGUAUUGGUAAUGAUGUGUUUUAAAUGUAUGUUGCCUGUAAAAUAAAGGUGUUUUUGAACUUUAGACAAAACUAUUAAGGUAACAUAAUGUUAAUAGGCGUUGUAUAGACAAAA